GUGUAUAAGAGACAGGGAUAGAGUACUCGGCUACGAACCGAGCGGUCGGAGGUUCGAAUCCUCCUGAGUGCGCCA
rnacentral:tRNA from 1 species